UACGAAGGGGGCUAGCGUUGCUCGGAAUCACUGGGCGUAAAGCGCACGUAGGCGGGUCCUUAAGUCGGGGGUGAAAUCCUGGAGCUCAACUCCAGAACUGCCUUCGAUACUGAGGAUCUCGAGUCCGGGAGAGGUGAGUGGAACUCCGAGUGUAGAGGUGAAAUUCGUAGAUAUUCGGAAGAACACCAGUGGCGAAGGCGGCUCACUGGCCCGGUACUGACGCUGAGGUGCGAAAGCGUGGGGAGCAAACAGGAUUAGAAACCCCAGUAGUCC
rnacentral:rRNA from 1 species